CAGACACAACCUUCAUAAAACAAGUACUAGAUCAAAUACAUGUUUAAGAAAGAAGGUAGACUUUACUCAGGGAGACUCGAAGUCCCAGCUUGGGUCACUCAGAUGCAGACCUGAGGAGCGGAGAAGCAGGCGAGCUGAGAUAUGAAGUUAUGAGUUCCGGACCCAGGCUGCCUCCAAGGAAAAGCAGUGGUGUUUCAGACAGAGGUGGUGUAGGGGCGCAAAUAAUUCUGCUAGAUCAAGAUGGUGAACAGCCCAUGCGACCCAUGGCACGCUGCCUGAGACUUCACGUUCUCUGCAAAUAAUAAGCCACAGGUAGCUGCUGGACCACAGUCCAAAGGAUGCUACAGGCUGACAGAUCCAGCACCAGGCUCCCCAUCCACCCA